GGUUGUGGCUCAGUGGCUGAGUGCUUGCCUCACACAUGUGAGGUUCUGGGUUUGAUCCUCAGCACCA
rnacentral:tRNA from 1 species